rnacentral:rRNA from 1 species
UACGUAGGGGGCAAGCGUUAUCCGGAUUUACUGGGUGUAAAGGGAGCGCAGACGGACUUUUAAGUCUGAUGUGAAAUGUAUGGGCUCAACCCAUAACCUGCAUUGGAAACUGGAGGUCUGGAGUGCAGGAGAGGUAAGCGGAAUUCCUAGUGUAGCGGUGAAAUGCGUAGAUAUUAGGAGGAACACCGGCGGCGAAGGCGGCUUACUGGACUGUAACUGACGUUGAGGCUCGAAAGCGUGGGGAG